rnacentral:rRNA from 1 species
GGCUCAGGAUGAACGCUAGCUACAGGCUUAGCACAUGCAAGUCGAGGGGCAGCAUUUCAGUUUGCUUGACAAACUGGAGAUGGCGACCGGCGCACGGGUGAGUAACACGUACCCAACCUGCCGAUAACUCGGGGAUAGCCUUUCGAAAGAAAGAUUAAUACCCGAUAGCAUAAUGAUUCCGCAUGGUUUCAUUAUUAAAGGAUUCCGGUAAAGGAUGGGGAUGCGUUCCAUUAGGUUGUUGGUGAGGUAACGGCCCACCAAGCCUUCGAUGGAUAGGGGUUCUGAGAGGAAGGUCCCCCACAUUGGAACUGAGACACGGUCCAAACUCCUACGGGAGGCAGCAGUGAGGAAUAUUGGUCAAUGGGCGCUAGCCUGAACCAGCCAAGUAGCGUGAAGGAUGAAGGCUCUAUGGGUCGUAAACUUCUUUUAUAUAAGAAUAAAGUGCAGUAUGUAUACUGUUUUGUAUGUAUUAUAUGAAUAAGGAUCGGCUAACUCCGUG